GGGUUGUGAGGUUAAGCGACUAAGCGUACACGGUGGAUGCCCUGGCAGUCAGAGGCGAUGAAGGACGUGCUAAUCUGCGAUAAGCGUCGGUAAGGUGAUAUGAACCGUUAUAACCGGCGAUUUCCGAAUGGGGAAACCCAGUGUGAUUCGUCACACUAUCAUUAACUGAAUCCAUAGGUUAAUGAGGCGAACCGGGGGAACUGAAACAUCUAAGUACCCCGAGGAAAAGAAAUCAACCGAGAUUCCCCCAGUAGCGGCGAGCGAACGGGGAGCAGCCCAGAGCCUGAAUCAGUGUGUGUGUUAGUGGAAGCGUCUGGAAAGGCGCGCGAUACAGGGUGACAGCCCCGUACACAAAAAUGCACAUGCUGUGAGCUCGAUGAGUAGGGCGGGACACGUGGUAUCCUGUCUGAAUAUGGGGGGACCAUCCUCCAAGGCUAAAUACUCCUGACUGACCGAUAGUGAACCAGUACCGUGAGGGAAAGGCGAAAAGAACCCCGGCGAGGGGAGUGAAAAAGAACCUGAAACCGUGUACGUACAAGCAGUGGGAGCACGCUUAGGCGUGUGACUGCGUACCUUUUGUAUAAUGGGUCAGCGACUUAUAUUCUGUAGCAAGGUUAACCGAAUAGGGGAGCCGAAGGGAAACCGAGUCUUAACUGGGCGUUAAGUUGCAGGGUAUAGACCCGAAACCCGGUGAUCUAGCCAUGGGCAGGUUGAAGGUUGGGUAACACUAACUGGAGGACCGAACCGACUAAUGUUGAAAAAUUAGCGGAUGACUUGUGGCUGGGGGUGAAAGGCCAAUCAAACCGGGAGAUAGCUGGUUCUCCCCGAAAGCUAUUUAGGUAGCGCCUCGUGAAUUCAUCUCCGGGGGUAGAGCACUGUUUCGGCAAGGGGGUCAUCCCGACUUACCAACCCGAUGCAAACUGCGAAUACCGGAGAAUGUUAUCACGGGAGACACACGGCGGGUGCUAACGUCCGUCGUGAAGAGGGAAACAACCCAGACCGCCAGCUAAGGUCCCAAAGUCAUGGUUAAGUGGGAAACGAUGUGGGAAGGCCCAGACAGCCAGGAUGUUGGCUUAGAAGCAGCCAUCAUUUAAAGAAAGCGUAAUAGCUCACUGGUCGAGUCGGCCUGCGCGGAAGAUGUAACGGGGCUAAACCAUGCACCGAAGCUGCGGCAGCGACGCUGGAUGCGUUGUUGGGUAGGGGAGCGUUCUGUAAGCCUGCGAAGGUGUGCUGUGAGGCAUGCUGGAGGUAUCAGAAGUGCGAAUGCUGACAUAAGUAACGAUAAAGCGGGUGAAAAGCCCGCUCGCCGGAAGACCAAGGGUUCCUGUCCAACGUUAAUCGGGGCAGGGUGAGUCGACCCCUAAGGCGAGGCCGAAAGGCGUAGUCGAUGGGAAACAGGUUAAUAUUCCUGUACUUGGUGUUACUGCGAAGGGGGGACGGAGAAGGCUAUGUUGGCCGGGCGACGGUUGUCCCGGUUUAAGCGUGUAGGCUGGUUUUCCAGGCAAAUCCGGAAAAUCAAGGCUGAGGCGUGAUGACGAGGCACUACGGUGCUGAAGCAACAAAUGCCCUGCUUCCAGGAAAAGCCUCUAAGCAUCAGGUAACAUCAAAUCGUACCCCAAACCGACACAGGUGGUCAGGUAGAGAAUACCAAGGCGCUUGAGAGAACUCGGGUGAAGGAACUAGGCAAAAUGGUGCCGUAACUUCGGGAGAAGGCACGCUGAUAUGUAGGUGAAGUGAUUUACUCAUGGAGCUGAAAUCAGUCGAAGAUACCAGCUGGCUGCAACUGUUUAUUAAAAACACAGCACUGUGCAAACACGAAAGUGGACGUAUACGGUGUGACGCCUGCCCGGUGCCGGAAGGUUAAUUGAUGGGGUUAGCGCAAGCGAAGCUCUUGAUCGAAGCCCCGGUAAACGGCGGCCGUAACUAUAACGGUCCUAAGGUAGCGAAAUUCCUUGUCGGGUAAGUUCCGACCUGCACGAAUGGCGUAAUGAUGGCCAGGCUGUCUCCACCCGAGACUCAGUGAAAUUGAACUCGCUGUGAAGAUGCAGUGUACCCGCGGCAAGACGGAAAGACCCCGUGAACCUUUACUAUAGCUUGACACUGAACAUUGAGCCUUGAUGUGUAGGAUAGGUGGGAGGCUUUGAAGUGUGGACGCCAGUCUGCAUGGAGCCGACCUUGAAAUACCACCCUUUAAUGUUUGAUGUUCUAACGUUGACCCGUAAUCCGGGUUGCGGACAGUGUCUGGUGGGUAGUUUGACUGGGGCGGUCUCCUCCUAAAGAGUAACGGAGGAGCACGAAGGUUGGCUAAUCCUGGUCGGACAUCAGGAGGUUAGUGCAAUGGCAUAAGCCAGCUUGACUGCGAGCGUGACGGCGCGAGCAGGUGCGAAAGCAGGUCAUAGUGAUCCGGUGGUUCUGAAUGGAAGGGCCAUCGCUCAACGGAUAAAAGGUACUCCGGGGAUAACAGGCUGAUACCGCCCAAGAGUUCAUAUCGACGGCGGUGUUUGGCACCUCGAUGUCGGCUCAUCACAUCCUGGGGCUGAAGUAGGUCCCAAGGGUAUGGCUGUUCGCCAUUUAAAGUGGUACGCGAGCUGGGUUUAGAACGUCGUGAGACAGUUCGGUCCCUAUCUGCCGUGGGCGCUGGAGAACUGAGGGGGGCUGCUCCUAGUACGAGAGGACCGGAGUGGACGCAUCACUGGUGUUCGGGUUGUCAUGCCAAUGGCACUGCCCGGUAGCUAAAUGCGGAAGAGAUAAGUGCUGAAAGCAUCUAAGCACGAAACUUGCCCCGAGAUGAGUUCUCCCUGACUCCUUGAGAGUCCUGAAGGAACGUUGAAGACGACGACGUUGAUAGGCCGGGUGUGUAAGCGCAGCGAUGCGUUGAGCUAACCGGUACUAAUGAACCGUGAGGCUUAACCUUACAACGCCGAAGCUGUU
rnacentral:rRNA from 1 species